rnacentral:lncRNA from 1 species
CCAUUUUCAAGGUUACAGUAGGCUUUUAUGGAUGUUGCAACUGCUUUUUUCAGUUGUUUCAACAUGUUUUUAUUGAUGUUACAACACUGAGCUAGUCUUUUUUUCUAAUUUGCACGUCAUGAGCCCCCUGCGUCGUUCGAAGCUGCAAAAGUUGAUUUUUUGAUGUUUCAUAGAUUGUUUUUUAGUGUUGCGGAUGUAAUUUUCUAUGUUCCAUAAACUAUUUUUUC